UGGCCACAUUAUGUUGAAACACUAGUUUUCAUACAAUCACCAAAGUUAAGCUACAUCAAGCCUGGUCAGUACCUAGAUGAGUGACCACUUUGGAAUACUAGGUACUGUAA